rnacentral:rRNA from 1 species
UGAAUCAAAGUAACUGAUCGAAUCGUAGCUUGCCUACGAUAAAUCAUCUAAGUUUCUGCCCUAUCAGCUCUCGAUGGUAGUGUAUUGGACUACCAUGGCAGUCACGGGUAACGGAGAAUUAGGGUUCGAUUCCGGAGAAGGAGCCUGAGAAACGGCUACUACAACUACGGUUUGGCAGCAGGGAAGAAAAUUGGCCAAUCCUAAUUCAGGGAGCCAGUGACAAGGAAUAGCAAACCGGGGAACUAUGUUUCUACGGUAUUGAAAUGAGAACAGUGUUAAUCUCUUAGCGAGAAACAAUUGGAGGGCAAGCCUGGUGCCAGCAGCCGCGGUAAUUCCAGCUCCAAUAGCGUAUAUUAAAGUUGUUGCAGUUAAAAAGCUCGUAGUUGAACUUCUGUCCCGGUUCGCCACAGUUCGCUGAGGCAAUUCUGGACAUACGUCUGCAAGCUAAAAUCGGCCUUCACUGGUGCGACUUAGUAAGUAGACAUUUUACUGUGAAAAAAUUAGAGUGUUUCAGGCAGGUUUUAGCCCGUAUACAUUAGCAUGGAAUAAUGGAAUAGGACUACGUCCAUUUUAUUGGUUAUUGGAUUUGGUAAUGAUUAAUAGGGACAGUUGGGGGCAUUAGUAUUUAAUAGUCAGAGGUGAAAUUCUUGGAUUUAUUAAGGACUAACUAAUGCGAAAGCAUUUGCCAAAGAUGUUUUCAUUAAUCAAGAACGAAAGUUAGGGGAUCAAAGACGAUCAGAUACCGUCGUAGUCUUAACUAUAAACUAUACCGACUCGGGAUCGGCUGGAAUUUAUGUCCAGUCGGCACCGUAUGAGAAAUCAAAGUCUUUGGGUUCUGGGGGAAGUAUGGUACGCAAGUCUGAAACUUAAAGGAAUUGACGGAACAGCACACCAGAAGUGGAACCUGCGGCUUAAUUUGACUCAACACGGGGAAACUCACGAGCGCAAGACAGAGAAGGGAU